UGAGAGCUGGAGGCUGUGAUGCGAGAGUCCUACCCCUACUUGUUAGAGGUACCGUAUUUAGGUAUGAUUUUAAGUUUCGAGGACGAAACUUUUUAUCGUGGGAGAGAAUGUAGUGUCUCUGGGGUUUAGCUGUCGGGCUGACUGUAGCAUCAGUGGCAUCGACACAUCUGUAGAGUGUCGGGACUAGUUAGAGUCGUUUUGGUGCGAAAUAGACGCAAAAACGGACUGAGAGUUGUGAGAGUUGGAGUUCGAACACUGAAAUCUGCAAAAGCAGGAUUCUGAGUGUUGUGUACCGGUA
rnacentral:lncRNA from 1 species